ACAAUGGUCGGUACAAUGAGAGGCAAUACUGUGAAGUGGAGCAAAUCACCAAAACCGAUCCCAGUUCGGAUUGUAGGCUGCAACUCGCCUACAUGAAGUUGGAGUUGCUAGUAAUCGCAGAUCAGAAUGCUGCGGUGAAUGCGUUCCCGGGUCUUGUACACACCGCCCGUCACACCAUGGAAGUUGGGGGUGCCCGAAGUCGGUUAGUUAAUCUAUCGCCUAAGGCAAAACCAAUGACUGGGGUGAAGUCGUAACAAGGUAGCCGUAUCGGAAGGUGCGGCUGGAUCACCUCCUUUCUAAGGA
rnacentral:rRNA from 1 species